rnacentral:rRNA from 1 species
AUUGUACGCUGGCGGCAGGCCUAACACAUGCAAGUCGAGCGGUAGAGAGAAGCUUGCUUCUCUUGAGAGCGGCGGACGGGUGAGUAAUGCCUAGGAAUCUGCCUAGUGGUGGGGGAUAACGUUCGGAAACGGACGCUAAUACCGCAUACGUCCUACGGGAGAAAGCGGGGGACCUUCGGGCCUCGCGCCAUUAGAUGAGCCUAGGUCGGAUUAGCUAGUUGGUGAGGUAAUGGCUCACCAAGGCGACGAUCCGUAACUGGUCUGAGAGGAUGAUCAGUCACGCUGGAACUGAGACACGGUCCAGACUCCUACGGGAGGCAGCAGUGGGGAAUAUUGGACAAUGGGCGAAAGCCUGAUCCAGCCAUGCCGCGUGUGUGAAGAAGGUCUUCGGAUUGUAAAGCACUUUAAGUUGGGAGGAAGGGCAGUUACCUAAUACGUAUCUGUUUUGACGUACCGA